rnacentral:rRNA from 1 species
UACGUAGGCAGCGAGCGUUGCUCGGAGUUACUGGGCGUAAAGGGUGUGUAGGCGGUUGUUUAAGUUUGGUGUGAAAUCUCCCGGCUCAACUGGGAGGGUGCGCCGAAUACUGAAUGACUUCGAGUGCGGGAGAGGAAAGUGGAAUUCCUGGUGUAGCGGUGAAAUGCGUAGAUAUCAGGAGGAACACCGGUGGUGUAGACGGCUUUCUGGACCGUAACUGACGCUGAGACACGAAAGCGUGGGUAGCAAACAGG